ACUCCUACGGGAGGCAGCAGUGGGGAAUAUUGCACAAUGGGGAAACCCUGAUGCAGCCAUGCCGCGUGUGUGAAGAAGGCCUCGGUUGUAAGCACUUCAGUAGGGAGGAAGGUAGUGUAGUUAACACCUGCACUAUUUGACGUUACCUACAGAAGAAGCACCGGCUAACUCCGUGCCAGCAGCCGCGGUAAUACGGAGGGGUGCGAGCGUUAAUCGGAAUUACUGGGCGUAAAGCGCAUGCAGGCGGCCUGUUAAGUCAGAUGUGAAAGCCCGGGGGCUUAACCUCGGAAUUGCAUUUGAAACUGGCAGGCUAGAGUCUUGUAGAGGGGGUAGAAUUUCAGGUGUAGCGGUGAAAUGCGUAGAGAUCUGAAGGAAUACCAGUGGCGAAGGCGGCCCCUGGACAAAGACUGACGCUCAGAUGCGAAAGCGUGGGAGGCAAACAGGAUUAGAUACCCUGGUAGCACAGAG
rnacentral:rRNA from 1 species